AACGAACGCUGGCGGCAUGCCUAACACAUGCAAGUCGAACGAGACCUUCGGGUCUAGUGGCGCACGUGUGCGUAACGCGUGGGAACCUGCCCUUAGGUUCGGAAUAACUCCCCGAAAGGGGUGCUAAUACCGGAUAAUGUCUUCGGACCAAAGAUUUAUCGCCUUUGGAUGGGCCCGCGUUGGAUUAGCUAGUUGGUAGGGUAAAAGCCUACCAAGGCGACGAUCCAUAGCUGGUCUGAGAGGAUGAUCAGCCACACUGGGACUGAGACACGGCCCAGAAUCCUACGGGAGGCAGCAGAGGGGAAUAUUGGACAAGGGGCGAAAGCCUGAUCCAGCAAUGCCGCGUAAGUGAUGAAGGCCUUAGGGUUGUAAAGCUCUUUUACCCGGGAUGAUAAUGACAGUACCGGGAGAAUAAGCUCCGGCUAACUCCGUG
rnacentral:rRNA from 1 species